CUACGGGAGGCUCCAGUGGGGAAUAUUGGACAAUGGGCGCAAGCCUGAUCCAGCAAUGCCGCGUGAGUGAAGACGGCCUUAGGGUUGUAAAACUCUUUCGCUAGGGAAGAUAAUGACUGUACCUAGUAAAGAAGUCCCGGCUAACUCCGUGCCAGCAGCCGCGGUAAUACGGAGGGGACUAGCGUUGUUCGGAAUUACUGGGCGUAAAGAGUUCGUAGGCGGACUGACAAGUUAGAGGUGAAAUCCCAGGGCUCAACCCUAGAACUGCCUUUAAAACUGUCAGUCUAGAGAACGGAAGAGGUUAGGGGAAUACCUAGUGUAGAGGUGAAAUUCGUAGAUAUUAGGUGGAACACCAGUGGCGAAGGCGCCUAACUGGUCCGGUACUGACGCUGAGGAACGAAAGCGUGGGGAGCAAACAGGAUUAGAUACCCUCGUAGUC
rnacentral:rRNA from 1 species